AAUCCGUGAUGUGGACAUAUAUUCAUCAAAUCCUUGAACCUCUCCCAAUAUGUUUGGAAGGUCUCGUCACCUUUCUGCAUGAACUUGUUGAUAUGCUCUUGCAGGUACU